rnacentral:rRNA from 1 species
AUUGAACGCUGGCGGCAGGCCUAACACAUGCAAGUCGAACGAGUGGCGGACGGGUGAGUAAUGUCUGGGAAACUGCCCGAUGGAGGGGGAUAACUACUGGAAACGGUAGCUAAUACAGCAUACCAUCGGAUGUGCCCAGAUGGGAUUAGAGAGUAGGUGGGGUAACGGCUCACCUAGGCGACGAUCCCUGGCCGGUCUGAGAGGAUGACCAGCCACACUGGAACUGAGACACGGUCCAGACUCCUGCGGGAGGCAGCAGUGGGGAAUAUUGCACAAUGGGCUCAGGGCUGAUGCAGCCAUGCCGCGUGGAUGAAGAAGGCCUUCGGGUUGUAAAGUACUGUCAGCGGGGAGGCGUUACUCGCAGAAGAAGCACCGGCUAACUCCGUGCCAGCAGCCGCGGUAAUUC